rnacentral:rRNA from 1 species
UACGGGGGGGGCAAGCGUUGUUCGGAAUUAUUGGGCGUAAAGGGCUUGUAGGUGGCCAACUAAGUCAGACGUGAAAUCCCUCGGCUUAACCGGGGAACUGCGUCUGAUACUGGAUGGCUUGAGUUUGGGAGAGGGAUGCGGAAUUCCAGGUGUAGCGGUGAAAUGCGUAGAUAUCGUAAGGAAGACCAGUGGCGAAGGCGGGUCUCUGGACAGUUACUGACGCUGAGGCACGAAGGCCAGGGGAGCAAACGGG